rnacentral:rRNA from 1 species
AAUAGAUACCCCGGUAGUCCUGGCCGUAAACCAUGGGCACUGGAUCGUGUGCUCGCCGAUGGGCGCGCGAUCGCAGCGAAAGCGUCAAGUGCCCCGCCUGGGGAGUAUGGUCGCAAGGCUGAAACUCGAAAGGAAUUGACGGGGGCUCACACAAGCGGUGGAGCAUGUGGCUUAAUUCGAGGCUACGCGAAGAACCUUAUCCCGGGCUUGACAUGCACGGAUUAGCCGGCGGAAACGUCGGGGACGCCUUCGGGUGGAACGUGCGCAGGUGCUGCAUGGCUGUCGUCAGCUCGUGCCGCGAGGUGUUGGGUUAAGUCCCGUAACGAGCGAAACCCUUGCCCCUAGUUGCCAGCGCGUCAUGGCGGGCACUCUAGGGGGACCGCCGGCGUCAAGCCGGAGGAAGGCGGGGACGACGUCAAGUCAUCAUGGCCCUUAUGCCCGGGGCUGCACACGUGCUACAAUGGGCCGGACAGAGCGUUGCAAGACCGCAAGGUGGAGCCAAUCGCAAAAACCGGCCCCAGUUCGGAUCGCGGG